rnacentral:rRNA from 1 species
AGAGUUUGAUCCUGGCUCAGAUUGAACGCUGGCGGAAUGCUUUACACAUGCAAGUCGAGCGGCAGCGCGGGGGCAACCCUGGCGGCGAGCGGCGAACGGGUGAGUAACAUAUCGGAACGUACCCCGUCGUGGGGGAUAACACAGCGAAAGCUGUGCUAAUACCGCAUACGACCUGAGGGUGAAAGCGGGGGAUCGCAAGACCUCGCGCGAUGGGAGCGGCCGAUAUCGGAUUAGCUUGUUGGUGAGGUAAAGGCUCACCAAGGCGACGAUCCGUAGCUGGUCUGAGAGGACGACCAGCCACACUGGAACUGAGACACGGUCCAGACUCCUACGGGAGGCAGCAGUGGGGAAUUUUGGACAAUGGGCGAAAGCCUGAUCCAGCCAUGCCGCGUGAGUGAAGAAGGCCUUCGGGUUGUAAAGCUCUUUCGGUGGGGAAGAAAUUGCAUAGGCUAAUACCCUAUGUAGAUGACGGUACCUGGAGAAGAAGCACCGGCUAACUACGUG